UACAGAGGGUGCAAGCGUUGCUCGGAAUUAUUGGGCGUAAAGGGCAGGUAGGUGGUCUUGUUUGUCAGAGGUGAAAUCCCUGGGCUUAACCUAGGAAGGGCCUCUGAAACGGCAAGACUCGAGUACUGGAGAGGGUCGUGGAAUUCCCGGUGUAGCGGUGAAAUGCGUAGAGAUCGGGAGGAACACCAGAGGCGAAGGCGGCGACCUGGACAGUCACUGACACUCAACUGCGAAAGCGUGGGGAGCAAACAG
rnacentral:rRNA from 1 species